GCUGAGAUGAAUAUAAAUACUGUGUAGGCUCACAUGUGCAAUGGUUUCUACAAUUAUGUAUUUAAAUUAUUCAUGCCAUUUAUAGGCUGUAGAAGCAGGCAGUGAAAAGAGGGGUUUUAUCUUUUAUUACAACCAAAUGAAAUGGACAAUUAUGCAGAUUCACAGGCCUUUAAAUCACCAUCAGAUUAGGACUGUCCUUGUUGCAAAUGCAAACAUGAGAAACAAGCACACAUGAUGUAGCUUGUUUCCUUUUGAGUCUCACCUCCUUUUUAUAUCAUAAACCCUAAAAUACCCAAGUGACCCUCAGAAGAGAAAUGUGCGUGUUCAGCUCUCACAGCGGUAAACUCGCUGACAUCACAGUGUCCCGCGCAGGUGGAGGACACCACGCGCUGCUUCUGGGGCUUGUGUUACACCUCCAGAUACCGCUGUGAGGAACCCACGGGGAGGGAGAGGAAAAAUAGCGGACAACUCAUUUCUCUCUAACACCCUUGGAAGCUGUGGAGCUGUGAGCCAGAAAAGAGUCGACUGUGGGACUGGCUGGGAUUGAAUAUAUGCUCAUGCCGGUAAGUGUGUGUGUGUGAGCUGAUAUUAGCAACCCCAUUGGUAUUCAGCGGAGGGAGCUCCAGGAUCUCGCUGCGCCUUUCCCCAGGAUGGGAUCACAGAGCGGGGAUUGUGCUCGCCUGUGAAGAACCCGUUGAAAUGGAUCUGAAGCCUUGCAGAGAUGGACACCAAAUGGGCAGCGUGGAAGCCAACAUCCACCCUCCAGCGACAAGCUUUCCACACCUAACCGCCUCCACCAUCUCCAGCAUUCAGCUCGAACCAUCCCAGCGAGGCCUGAACCUGCAGAGUUGAGGCCGGACAAGCAAGACUGAGAUACCAGACGCCGUCUACAGGAAGUAGAGAAAAGCAGAGCCUCAGAGGAGUUGACUUACAACAAACCAAUCAACCUGUUGAGCAUAUACGAUUGAGCAACUUGGACUUCAUCUGAAAUGAAAUAAGCUGC
rnacentral:lncRNA from 1 species